rnacentral:rRNA from 1 species
AGCGGCGGACGGGUGAGUAACACCGUGGACGAAUCUGCCCCCCGGACCCGGGAUAGCCCAGGGAAACCCUGGAUUAAUACCGGAUGAGACGGGACCCGCGAUGGCGGGACCCGGGAAAGGCGCUGCGGCGCCGCCGGGGGAUGAGUCUGCGUCCCAUUAGCUAGACGGCGGGGUAACGGCCCACCGUGGCGACGAUGGGGUAGCCGGCCUGAGACGGGUGGACGGCCACAUUGGAACUGAGACACGGUCCAGACUCCUACGGGAGGCAGCAGCUAAGAAUCUUCCGCAAUGGGCGAAAGCCUGACGGAGCGACGCCGCGUGAACGAAGAAGGCCGUGAGGCUGUAAAGUUCUUUUCGGGAGGGGGAACAACCGUGGCAGGGAAUGGCCGCGGGAUGACGUGAAUCCCGGAAUAAGCCCCGGCUAACUACGUGCCAGCCGCAGC